UACGUAGGUGGCGAGCGUUAUCCGGAAUUAUUGGGCGUAAAGGGUGCGUAGGUGGUUUCUUAAGUCAGAGGUGAAAGGCUACGGCUCAACCGUAGUAAGCCUUUGAAACUGGGAAACUUGAGUGCAGGAGAGGAGAGUGGAAUUCCUAGUGUAGCGGUGAAAUGCGUAGAUAUUAGGAGGAACACCAGUAGCGAAGGCGGCUCUCUGGACUGUAACUGACACUGAGGCACGAAAGCGUGGGGAGCAAACUGGAUUAGAUACCCCGGUAGUCCCUGAG
rnacentral:rRNA from 1 species